rnacentral:lncRNA from 1 species
AGUCCAUCAUGCCAUCAAUAAAGUGGGCGCACCCAACUUGAUCAAAUCAAGUGGUGCCCUAUAAAAAUUCAAUCAAGAAAUUGAUUAGGAGUUUGAACCCCUAAUGCAUAUGAUCCAAAAUCUUAGGCACCCAACAAUUAUAUCCCAAUGAAUCUAAUUCAUUUAAAUUAUUAAUAAGUAAUUAACUCGAAUUAAUCUUAUCAAAUAAGUAAUUCAAGUGC